rnacentral:rRNA from 1 species
GCUCGAACGGCAAGUGACAUCCGGCGAAAGCCGGCUCCCGCAAGGGCAGUUGCCGAGGUGCUGCAUGGCUGUCGUCAGCUCGUGUCGUGAGAUGUUGGGUUAAGUCCCGCGACGAGCGCAACCCUUGUCCGCUGUUGCCAUCAGGUUAAGCUGGGCACUCUGCGGAGACUGCCGGUGAUAAACCGGAGGAAGGUGGGGAUGACGUCAAGUCAGCAUGGCCUUUAUGUCUGGGGCUACACACGUGCUACAAUGGCAGAUACAAACCGUCGCGAGACCGCAAGGUGGAGCUAAUCGGAGAAAGUCUGUCUCAGUUCGGAUUGCAGGCUGCAACUCGCCUGCAUGAAGUUGGAAUCGCUAGUAAUCGCGGAUCAGCACGCCGCGGUGAAUACGUUCCCGGGCCUUGUACACACCGCCCGUCACAUCACGAAAGCUGGCUGUACUAGAAGUCGCCGCGCUAACCCGCAAGGGAGGCAAGCGCCUAAGGUAUGGUUAGUGAUUGGGGUG